UUAUUUUAUCUUUAUUCAAGAUAAAUGGUUUUGAAUUCAAACAUUGUAACAGAAAUUGUCAAGAAUCUAGUCGUGAGUUUAAGCUCCUAUAAUAGUCCAAUAUGAAUACCAGAUUCAAAACAUUUCUAUUCGUUCUUCUCGUUAUAAAAGCUAUUAUUUCGACACAAGCUCAAGCACCCUUAUCUUACGACAACGAUGUGACCAAACAUUUGGAUGGCUGGGUCGGAAAAUUACUAAAAACCGGAACAGACACGUUCAAAAAACUAUUCAGCAAGAUAUCAACGCAAACUCUGAAAGAUUUUAAUUUCGAUAUUGGCAAGGAAAUCUCACCUUUAGGCAACCGGUUUCAAUUUCGCGAUGUCUACAUGAACGUGAGCGAAUUCAAAGCGCCCCAGCUUCACUGGAAAUUCUCCGAGAGUAAAAUGAGCGUAUACGUAAAAGAAUUCACUGUCAGAGUAUUUGGUUCGAUUCUUGUCAGUAGGUGCUGCUCUCUUCGGUGCGCACCAAAAUACACUUCACACUCCUCGUUUUGUACCAGUAUAGACACUGCACCUGGGCCCUCCGGGUAAGACCAUCGACC